GCUACGAUCCUACGUUUAGCCAAAUGCUGCUAGUGCCUGAAUUGGAAGACUGGAACAACAAGGCAUUUGGAGAUUUCUAGAUUUCCCGGAUUCCCCCGGAUCCCAGUCCAGUUUGAUGUCGUCUGUCUAGAUGAGCACAGCUGUUGAUAUUACAGGGUGUCAUGAUACAGGAAUGAUAAAGGCUGUCCAGAUUCUGCUAACGAAGCUAGACCUCUUUAUAUCCAUCUCUUUCAACACAUUCUCAACAUGAUCAGAAAUAAUAGGAUGAAAGGUGAAUAGCAGGCAUGCACAGUACAUGAAAGCUUCAAGGCAUCUCUAUAAAGUGUGUCUUAUCAACUUUAUCUCUGCAUAGAUCUUUGAAGGCAACACUGAAGGAGAAUACAUCAGGCAGGGAAACCCAGUGACCUCUGACCUUUGAAAAUGGGACUGGAAAAACUCAGAAUCCAAACAGAGACACGCCUACCUGAUUGAUGAUUUUGUGUGUACACUGCAUGGAAUGCUCUCCAGACAUGGUAAAGUGUAAAUCUGGUUUUCAUUGCACACAGACCAUUGAUAGUAUAACACCUAUGGAUGGGAAAUAUUAAAACUAUUGACUGGAUCUCAUAGUUCUACCAUAACAGGUGUGUAGAGGACACAAGCUGUUGGGUGUAUGAUUCGGGUUCAUAUUAAUGCCAUUGACUGGAUCUCACAACCUUCAUACAUAUAUGGAGAACACAACCUGUUGGAUGUUCGGUUCAGGUUUAUAUUAAUAAUUAUUGACUGGAUCUCGCAGUGAUAACCUACCAUUAUAGAAACAUAUAAACAUGUAGUAGCUGUCCAGAACACAACCUGGUGGGUGUUUACUUCAAGUUUAUAUUACAAACUAUUGACUGGAUCUCAAAACUCCAGCAUGAAAUUAGUGUAACUAUACGAAAACAUAACCUGUUGGUUCCAGCACGAUUCAUUCAACCAGGAGAUUGCAGUCAUCAUUGGAGAUAAUCAAAAAGACAUGGUGCUUGCAUGCCAUUAAUAGGAACUUCAUGUUUAUACAAUACAUCAUUGAGUUAAUAAAUGACUUGGGAGAAACCACCAACCUUCAGAGCAGGAAAUAGCCAUUAUUAUCUACCAGUAAAUUCAACCUCUGCUCUGCAGUGCUUCAUGUAUGAUGGACACUUGGUAUGGAUCCCUUGAUUCAUUUUGUCAAUUGGAUAACUUUAACAUGUGAACAAUGCACAGUGUGUAAUUGAUAUGAUCAUGCCAUGACCAUGUAAAUGAGACGGACGGAGCUGAUCUUGUACCUGCAUUUAUUUGGGAGUUCAAGGAAGAUGGGAACAGAUUGUUUCUAUUUUUUCUAAGAGCAACAAAAUUGAAGAAGGAUUUAAAUCAUUGUUAGUCUGUGCUUGCUCUUUCUCCUCCCU